CCUGUCGAAAGACGGGCUAAUACCGGAUACGUCCUGUGCUUUUCGAAGCACAGGGGAAAGAUGGGGAUCCGUAAGGACCUAUCACCCUUGGAUGGGCCCGCGGCCUAUCAGCUAGUUGGUGAGGUAAUGGCUCACCAAGGCUAAGACGGGUAGCUGGUCUGAGAGGAUGGUCAGCCACACUGGAACUGAGACACUGUCCAGACACCUACGGGUGGCUGCAGUCGAGAAUCUUUCGCAAUGGGGGAAACCCUGACGACGCGACGCCGCGUGGAGGAUGAAGGCCUUCGGGUUGUAAACUCCUGUCAGCAGGGGAGAACAAGCUUUUGAUGAAUAAUCGAGAGCUUUGACAGUACCUGCAGAGGAAGCCACGGCUAACUCUGUGCCAGCAGCCGCGGUAAUACAGAGGUGGCAAGCGUUGUUCGGAUUUAUUGGGCGUAAAGGGUCCGUAGUCGGCCUGGAAAGUUGGAUGUGAAAUCCCACAGCUUAACUGUGGAACUGCAUUCAAAACUUCUAGGCUCGAGUGUGAUAGGGGUAAUGGGAAUUCCCGGUGU
rnacentral:rRNA from 1 species